rnacentral:tRNA from 1 species
GGGCAAUUAGCUCAGUUGGUAGAGCAUCUCUGUCACAUGGAGGGGGUCGCUGGUUCGAGUCCAACAUUGCCCACCA